CAUCAUGUCAGAUCAUCACAUUCCCCUGCAAAGCAUUGCUUUCAUUUUUCUAAAUAAGGCACUGAAACAGGUUGGAUCUCAAGUGACUCACUGCUAUAAAUUUGGAUUUCCAAAGGGUUUUCGGCAAACACGGGAGGCUCACUCAUCCACACAAGAAGGCUCCUUAAGAAGACACAAGGAUGGAUGCAUUCCCGCUGUUUUCCCAGAUAAAAUCAUUUACACAGUGGGUCUCCGGAGAUGCUGAAGGAGCCCGAAAGACACAAGAGAAUUUUUUUAAACUUUGCCCCAUAGUAUCACAGGGUACAUCAGCUGUUCAGGCCGUCCUUGGAGAUGAAGAAGGAGCCAGAAGAACACAGCUGGAGUUCCUCCAAGGUGUAAAUGAAACAAUGGAUAUCUUACCAGUUGUUGGCCAUGUUAAAGGGGCAGUCCAUUACAUGUGUGGUGACAAACAAGGAGGGGAUCAAGCUCUAAAGGCUGCAACUCAGACAGCAGAUGCCAUUGGUAACAUCUUUGCAGGUCGCUAAAUAUGAAAUGCCGUGGUUCACUGUAACUGCUGUUGUGGAACAUCAUGUUCAGCACUAUGGACCUGAUCAUAAUACACAUGUUAUAUCUGAUCCAAACAAAUUAAAGCAGGUUUUGGAAGUGACUGGUGGUUAGGUGAUGUAUGCCACGAUGAACUGACAUUUUGUUGCUCUUGAUGAGACACACGCAAUGGCAUACCAUCUUCAGUUUAGUUUAGGAUGAAGCGGUCAUCUCAGAGGAUAAAUUCUAAAAAGUAUAACUUUUUACUUAAUCUAGCAGAUUUCUACGAUUACACAUGACUUUCUGCAAAUGUGCUUUUAUUGUUUGUAAAUAAUUAAGUUUGUUUUUUUCAAGAUCAAGAGGAUUGCAUUUUGCAUAUGCAGCCUUUAUAAAAUAUGCAUAUUGAUUUAGAAAAA